AGAUGUGAGGGUGAUCUGGUUGAGACAUCUGUCACCCCAGGGUUGAUUCAGCUGAUCAGGCUAGCUAGGUGGGUGUCCCCUUCCUCCUUCACCACUUCAACGUGUGUCCUCCCAAAGCUGUGCAAUCUUCCCCCAAUAGAGAUGGACUGCUCUUCCUUCAAGGGUGUAUAAGUAGCUGCACUCCCCUGCUAGAACUUCCAAACAAGCUCUAAAGAACAGUUAUGGGGGCAAAGGAACCCUCCUACACUGAUAGUGGGAAUGUAAACUGGUCCCACCCCUGUGGAGACAGUCUGAAAAACUCC
ensembl:misc_RNA 7SK 7SK RNA